GAUGAACGCUGGCGGCGUGCCUAAUACAUGCAAGUCGAGCGAACGGCCGUGAAGCUUGCUUCCUUUAUGUUUGCGGCGCACAGGGGAGUAAAACGUGGAUAACAUCCCUAUUUGACUGGGAGAACUUCGGUAAACAGGAGCUAUUAUCGCAUAAUCGUUUGAACCGCAUGGUUCAAGAGAGAAAGACGGUCUUGCUGUCACGUAUAGAUGCAUCCGCGCUGCAUUAGCUGGUUGGUAAGGUAACGGCUUACCAAGGCAACCAUGCAUAGCAGACCCGAUAGAGUGAUCGCCCACACUGGAACUGAGACACGGUCAAGACUCCUACGGGAGCAGGCAGUAGGGAUUCUUCGGCAAUGGGCGAAGGCCUGACGGGGAACCGCGCCGUGGUUAAGGAGGGUCUUGGGUUCGAAAGACCCGUUUAUCAGGGAGGAACAUAUGUGUAAGUAUAUUUGCACGGCUUGACGGUACCGAAUUAGAAAGCCACGGCUAACUACGUG
rnacentral:rRNA from 1 species